rnacentral:rRNA from 1 species
AGAGUUUGAUCCUGGCUCAGAAUCAACGCUGGCGGCGCGCUUAACACAUGCAAGUCGAACGAGAAAGUGGAGCAAUCCAUGAGUACAGUGGCGUACGGGUGAGUAACACGUGGGUAAUCUGCCUUUUAGUGAGGAAUAACGAUGGGAAACCGUCGCUAAUACCGCAUAAGCCCGAGAGGGGGAAGUCGCAAGACGCUGAAAGAGGAGCCCGCGGCCGAUUAGCUAGUUGGUAGGGUAAGAGCCUACCAAGGCAGAGAUCGGUAGCCGGCCUGAGAGGGCACACGGCCACACUGGCACUGAAACACGGGCCAGACUCCUACGGGAGGCAGCAGUGGGGAAUCUUGCACAAUGGGGGCAACCCUGAUGCAGCGACGCCGCGUGAGCGAUGAAGCCCUUCGGGGUGUAAAGCUCUUUCGGCAGGGAAGAUUAUGACGGUACCUGCAGAAGCAGCUGCGGCUAACUACGUGCCAGCAGCCGCGGUAAUACGUAGGCAGCGAGCGUUGUUCGGAGUUACUGGGCGUAAAGGGUGUGUAGGCGGUUCUUUAAGUUUGGUGUGAAAUCUCCCGGCUCAACCGGGAGGGUGCGCCGAAUACUGAGGGACUAGAGUACGGGAGAGGAAAGUGGAAUUCCCGGUGUAGCGGUGAGAUGCGUAGAUAUCAGGAGGAACACCGGUGGUGUAGACGGCUUUCUGGACCGUAACUGACGCUGAGACACGAAAGCGUGGGUAGCAAACAGGAUUAGAUACCCUGGUAGUCC